GAUGAACGCUGGCGGCGUGCCUAAUACAUGCAAGUCGAGCGAAGCGGGGACGGGUGAGUAACACGUGGAUAACCUCCUAUAAGACUGGGAUAACUUCGGGAAACCGGAGCUAAACCCGAUACUUCUAGAUGGAUCUUCGCUGCAUUAGCUAGUUGGUAUGGUAACGGCUUACCAAGGCAACGAUGCAUAACCGACCUGAGAGGGUGGUCGGCCACACUGGAACUGAGAAACGGCCCAGACUCCUACGGGAGGCAGCAGUAGGGAAUCUUCCGCAAUGGGCGCAAGCCUGACGGAGCCACGCCGCGUGAGUGAUGAAGGCCUUCGGAUCGUAAAGCUCUGUCAGUAGGGAAGCGGUACCUAAUCAGAAAGCCACGGCUAACUACGUGCCAGCAGCCGCGGUAAUAC
rnacentral:rRNA from 1 species